CCAUAGCUUAAUGGAUAGAGCAACUGUCUUCGGAACAGUCGGUUGGGGGUUCAAGUCCCUCUGGGU
rnacentral:tRNA from 1 species